CCUUACCAGGGGUUGACAUCUCUCUGACCCCUCCAGAGAUGGGGUGUUCCCUUCGGGGACAGUAGACACAGGUGGUGCAUGGUUGUCGUCAGCUCGUGUCGUGAGAUGUUGGGUUAAGUCCCGCAACGAGCGCAACCCCUGUUUCUAGUUGCCAUCAUUAAGUUGGGCACUCUAUAGAGACUGCCGAUGACAAAUCGGAGGAAGGUGGGGAUGACGUCAAAUCAUCAUGCCCUUUAUGCCCUGGGCUACACACGUGCUACAAUGGUGGGUACAACGGGGAGCAAACCAGCGAGGGCAAGCAAAUCUCUAAAACCCGUUCCCAGUUCGGAUUGCAGGUGCAAUUCGCCCCAUGAAGUGGGAAUCGCUAGUAAUCGCGGCUCAGCAUGAUGU
rnacentral:rRNA from 1 species